GGGGAAUUUUCCGCAAUGGGCGCAAGCCUGACGGAGCAAUACCGCGUGAGGGAGGACGGCUUUUGGGUUGUAAACCUCUUUUAUCAGGGAAGAAGACAGUGACGGUACCUGAUGAAUCAGCAUCGGCUAACUCCGUGCCAGCAGCCGCGGUAAUACGGAGGAUGCAAGCGUUAUCCGGAAUUAUUGGGCGUAAAGCGUCCGUAGGUGGUUUUUCAAGUCUGCUGUCAAAGCGUGGAGCUUAACUCCAUACCGGCAGUGGAAACUGGGAGACUAGAGUGCGAUAGGGGUUACGGGAAUUCCCAGUGUAGCGGUGAAAUGCGUAGAGAUUGGGAAGAACACCAGCGGCGAAAGCGCGUAACUGGGUCUGCACUGACACUGAGGGACGAAAGCUAGGGGAGCGAAAGGGAUUAGAUACCCCUGUAGUCCUAGCCGUAAACGAUGGAUACUAGGUGUGGCUCGUAUCGACCCGAGCCGUGCCGGAGCUAACGCGUUAAGUAUCC
rnacentral:rRNA from 1 species